AGAAAUAUUUAGCAGUGAGUUAUUCCCAUUUGGUACGGAUUCUAUAUACAAAGGUAGCGAAAAAGCAUACAUUUACGCUGUGUUACUAAAAGAUUGUGCGUAGAGCAGUUAAAAAACAAAGUAACAAGCUACGAGAGAUACUAAACGUUAAUUUUAUCGUGCACUUGUGGAAUAGUGCUUCAAUAAUAAAUUGGGAUCAAAAUUAAGGAAAUUCUCUCGUUUCCCUUCGUUGAUAGAAUCAACA